GCCGCGGUAGCUCAGCUGGUAGGGUAUCUGCCCAGUACGUGGAGGGUCGCCUGUUCGGUUUGGGCUUGCGGCG
rnacentral:tRNA from 1 species